rnacentral:rRNA from 1 species
UCCGUAGGGGGCAAGCGUUGUCCGGAUUUAUUGGGCGUAAAGCGCGUGUAGGUGGCCAAGUAGGUCCGCUGUGAAAACUUGAGGCUCAACCUCAAGCUGUCGGUGGAAACCCCUUGGCUAGAGUCCGGAAGAGGAGAGUGGAAUUCCUGGUGUAGCGGUGAAAUGCGCAGAUAUCAGGAAGAACACCAAUGGCGAAGGCAGCUCUCUGGGACGGUACUGACACUGAGACGCGAAAGCGUGGGGAGCGAACAGG